CCAGCUAUGGGCCGACUGUGACUUAACGAACACCGCUACGCCGAGUAUGGACCUGCCGCGCGUACACCAGCUUUCAGCCGAGAUUGGCCCAAAUAGCAAAACCCGUCUGUCGGCCAGACGUGGUGUGAGCAGUCGGCAGGGCUCUGGGCUAUUACCUUUUCACCGAUACCGCCAUUGAGCCGACAACGGCGCAUUUCUACCGGAAUCGGCCCAAAUGUGCUUGCUAUCUGGGUUGCCUUUGUUUUAUGUUGUAGUAGACUCCUAGUAGGAUGACUGACCUACUACAGACCCAGUGCAGAAUGUCUCUGAUGGAUACAUGGAUGCGGUCAUGGACACGGCCAAGCCUGAGGAUAUUCUGGAGCAUGAGAACUCUGACCUGAAGGACGAAGUAAAAAUACUGCACUGCUCAUUGGACAAGUUGGAGGAAGAACUCCGUGACACUAACCGCAUGCAUGUAAGGAAAUUAACGGAGCAGGAGCAAAAGCUACAGAAAUCCAAAGUCCUUUGGUACCAAUCCGAAGAGACUAAGUACAUUCUGGAGCACGAGAACUCCAACCUGAAGGACGAAGUAAAAAUACUGCACUGCUCAUUGGACAAGUUGGAGGAAGAACUCCGUGACACUAACCGCAUACAUGUAAGGAAAUUAACGGAGCAGGAGCAAAAGCUACAGAAAUCCCAAGUCCUUUGGUACCAAUCCGAAGAGACUAAGG
ensembl:lncRNA